rnacentral:rRNA from 1 species
GAUGAACGCUGGCGGCGUGCUUAACACAUGCAAGUCGAGCGAAGCGCUUAAGUUUGAUUCUUCGGAUGAAGACUUUUGUGACUGAGCGGCGGACGGGUGAGUAACGCGUGGGUAACCUGCCUCAUACAGGGGGAUAACAGUUAGAAAUGACUGCUAAUACCGCAUAAGACCACAGGAUCGCAUGAUCCGGUGGUAAAAACUCCGGUGGUAUGAGAUGGACCCGCGUCUGAUUAGCUAGUUGGUGGGGUAACGGCUCACCAAGGCGACGAUCAGUAGCCGACCUGAGAGGGUGACCGGCACAUUGGGACUGAGACACGGCCCAA